rnacentral:misc_RNA from 1 species
UACUAUCAAGUGCCUAUGGGUUGAUCGCCAUAUGUGUUUGGAUUUGGACUCUGCUGUGUCAAUACGGCUGGUCUUAAAUGUAUCAAGCUUGGUCCUUUAUAAGGGGAAUUUUGGUUCUUACUCGGCGUGAUAAUUAUCUAACGUUGAGGACAGUCCCUGUGACUGGCCAGAGAGAGUCUCUUUUGGAUCGCUUCUAAGAAAAAUUCGUAAUUA